GGGCCCGUGGCCUAGCAUGGAAAGGCGCCGUCCCCUCAAGCCGGAGAUCCCGGGUUCGAGUCCCGGCGGGCCCGCCA
rnacentral:tRNA from 1 species